UGCAGUGUGAACGGGGGAGAGAAUGCUGGGGGGGGGGUGGUUCAGGAGGGGAAGCGGAGGUGAAGAAGGACCGGGAAGGAGGAUGGAGAGGUGCUCCCCCAAGAGCAGCGGCCAGGGGGCCUCGGCGGCUGUGCCCCUGGGGCGUGGGCUCCACCCAGAGGUCGUCUCGGGUCACUGCAUGCACAGGGCCCCUGCUGCCCAGGCUGGGGAGUCACAGGCCCAGGACGGCAGGUGUACGAUGUCCCCCUUUAAGGAUGAGGAGAAUAAGGCUCAGAAAGGUGAAAGGAACUUCCUCACUUUCGUAAAAACGAAACAGCACAGCUGGGGACAGACCCGAGGUCCCCUCCGUGAGGCCAGUUUACACACACGGGAGGCCCGGGGUUGGGCGCGGGUGGGCGGGCUCUGAGUGGGGGAAGGGCUCCCAGAGGGUGGGUUUCUGGCAAGCGCCCUCGCUCGCCCGCCCCACUUGGUGAAAGCUUCCCUGCCUUCCAGCGUCCACCCUGGUGCCAGAACUCCAAGAGCAGAGUUGAACAAACACGGUCUUCUGUCCCCAGGAUUUCCCACCGGACGAUGUAAAAUCCCAGAUCCCGGCAAUAAUUUUAGCGACGAUAAUAGACCUACUUUUACAUGCUCUUUCUUUAUGGUCCCCCCCGGCCCCCAGCAAUCUUCUCCGGGCCCUGUAGCAGGAGCCCCCCCCACCCAAUGUCCUCGCAGCCACCGCAGCCUCCCCUUCCUUCUCCAUGACCCGACCUGGUGCCACCAAGGUGCCCUUGUUGUGUUCUGCAGGCAUUUUGAGUUCGGACCAGGCGGUCCGUCACUGGUGUUUUGAAUUUGGAGUCGGGCAUCCUGAUGUUCGGAGAGUUUAAAUGACACGGCCACCGUGCGCCCUCCCCGUCCCAGUCUGCCUGCCCCGUCCUCAGACGCGUUGCACUCUGGAGACCUUGGGACGAAGAGGUCCCGGCACCCACAGCUGCUGCCACUCGCACGUGGCCUGGCCCCCAGCUCACCCCUCAGAAGAGGCAGACGUCUCCGUGUGUCCUGUGUCUGGAGCCUCCGUGAGGUUGAAGCCUGAGGCAGCCGGCGGGCCCUCCCCACGCCUCCUCUGUGCACCUGGAGCAUGACAGGACGGGCGUUGUUGCCCUGUGGUUCUGAGGAACGGAGGGGCCCGGCGUUGGGUCUUCCUGGCCUUCCCGGGUGGGAUCGGGGAGCACUUCAGCGCCGAGCGGUCACCUCGAAUAAAUGCCGGCAUGUUUCGUGAA